UAACCUGCCCAAGAGAUCGGGAUAACACCUGGAAACAGAUGCUAAUACCGGAUAACAACAGAUGAUGCCUAUCAACUGUUUAAAAGAUGGUUCUGCUAUCACUCUUGGAUGGACCUGCGGUGCAUUAGCUAGUUGGUAGGGUAACGGCCUACCAAGGCGAUGAUGCAUAGCCGAGUUGAGAGACUGAUCGGCCACAUUGGGACUGAGACACGGCCCAAACUCCUACCGGGAGGCAGCAGC
rnacentral:rRNA from 1 species